AUGCUCGGUAACACAUACACCAAAGUUGGAAUAUUGCAGAGACGAUCAGUAUGACCCCUGCAAGAGGACGGCAGGCAAAUCCGUGGAGCAUUCUCUCUUUAC